AAUUCUCAAUCUCUACAACUUUGUGUUGUCUAGAUCGGAAGUGGGGGUUUAUUGUGUGGAAUCUAAUUCCUCACUCCCCUUAAAUGCAUUAGCUGGAAUGCCUCUGCAUAUCUGACUAUCAGUGUGAUAAUUAUCUAUGCUGUAGUUGUUGCAUGAGGGUAUCUGCUUCAUAAAUCGUCGCAAGACAAUUCUAUAUGACCA
rnacentral:misc_RNA from 1 species